rnacentral:lncRNA from 1 species
AGAUCAGGAACAAACAAGGAUGACUGCUUUUGCUACUUCUAUUCAACAUUGUUCUGGAAGUAGCCGGCAAUAUGUAAGAAAAGAAAUAAAAUGCAUAUAAAUUUGAAAGGAAGAGGUAAAGCUGUUUCUAUUCCAGAUGACAUGAUCCUUAUAUAAAAAUCUUGAAGAGUGCACACACACACGGAGCUAAUAAGUGAAUUCAGGAAAGUUGAAGGAUACAAGAUCAACACACAAAAAUCAGUUUUAUUUUUAUACACUAGCAAUGGACAAUCCAAAAAGGAAAUUUAAAAAAUAAUUCUAUUCACAAGUGUCAAAAUAAUAAAAUACCUAGAAUAAUAUUUACCGUAGGUGACAGACUUGUAUGCUGAAAACUAGAAAACAUUGCUGAAAGAAAUGGAAGAAGACCUAGAAAAAUGGAAAGACAUCCUAUAUUCAUGGAUCGGAAGACUAAAUAUUGUUAAGAUGCCACUGCUACGUGACUUACAGAUUCAAUGCAAUGCCUAUUAAAAUUUCGAUGAGGCUGGGUGUGGUGGCUCACACCUGUAAUCCCAGCACUUUGAGAUGCUGAGGUGGGCAGAUCGCCUGAGGUCAGGAGUUCGAGAUCAGCCUGGCCAACACAGUGAAACCUGGUCUCUGCUAAAAAUACAAAAAUUAGCCGAGCGUGGUGGUGGGUGCCUGUAAUCCCAGCUACUAGGGAGGCUGAGGCAGGAGAAUCGCUUGAACCUGGGAGGCGAGGCUGCAGUGAGCUGAGAUUGCCCCACUGCACUCCAGCCUGGGCAACAGAAUGAGACUCUGUCUCAAAAAAAAAAAAAAAAAAUUUCAUUGGACUUUUUCCCCAGAAAUGGAAAAGCCAAUCUUAAAAUUCAUAUGGAAUUGUGGAAUUGUAAGGGGCCCCUGAAUAGCCAAAAUAAUCUUGAAAAAGAACAAUAUUGAAAGACUCACAUAUCCCAAUUUCAGGACUUACUACAAAGCUACAGCAAUCAAAACCAUGUGGUACUGGCAUAAAGACAGACAUAUACACUAAUGGAAUGGAACUGAGAGUCCAAAAAUAAACACUUGCAGCUCUGGUCAAUUGGUUUUUGAUACUAUGCCAGGACCAUUCCAUGGGGGAAAGAAUAGUCUCUUCAACAAAUGGUGCUGGGAUAACUGGAUAGCCACAUGCAAGAGAAUGCUGUUGGAUCCCUAACUCACACCAUACACAAAAAUUAACUGAAAAUGGAUCCAAGACCUAAAUAUAAGAGCUAAAACUAUACCAUUUUAGAAAGAAACAUAAGUGUAAUUUUCACUCUGCUGGAUUUGGCAAUUUUUUUUUUUUUUUGAGAUGGAGUCUUGCUCCAUCACCCAGGUUGGAGUGCAGCAGUGCGAUCUCCACUCACUGCAACCUCUGCCUCCCGGGUUCAAGUGAUUCGCUUGCCUCAGCAUCUUGAGUAGCUGGGACUACAGGUGCACGCCACCACACCCAGCUAAUUUUUGUAUUUUUAGUAGAGAUGGGGUUUCUCCACAUUGGCCAGGCUGGUCUCAAACUCCUGACCUCAGGUGAUCCACCUUCCUCAGCCUCCCAAAGUGCAAUGGAUUUUUAUUUUUUUGUUUUUUGAGAUGGAGUCUUGCUCUGUUGCCCAGGCUAGAGUGCAGUGGCACGAUCUUGGCUCACAGCUACCUCCACCUCCCGGGUUCAAGCAAUUCUUCUUUCUCAGCCUCCCAAGUAGCUGGGACUACAAGCACCCACCACCACGCCUGGCUAAUUUUCAUAUUUUUAGUAGAGAUGGGGUUUCACCAUAUUGGUCAGGCUGGUCUUGAACUCCUGACCUCAGGUGAUCUAACAACCAUGGCCUCCCAAAGUGCUGGGAUUACAGGCGUGAGUCACCGCACCUGGCACAAUGGAUUUUUAGAUAUGAUACUAAAAGCAUGAGUAACCAAAGGAAAAAAAUGGAUAAACUGGAUUUCAUCAAAACUAAAAGCUUUUGUGGUCAAAGGACAUUAUCAAGAAAGUGAAAAGACAGCCACAAUAUUCCAGAAAAAUAUUGGCAAAUCAUAUGUCUGAUAAAGGCCUAGUGUUUAGAAUAUGUAAAGAACUUUUGGCCGGGCGCGGUGGCUCACACCUAUAAUCCCAGCACUUUGGGAGGCCGAGGCGGGCAGAUCACGAGGUCAGGAGAUCGAGACCAUCCUGGCUAACACGGUGAAACCCUGUCUCUACUAAAAAUACAAAGAAUUAGCCGGGCGUGGUGGCGGGCGCCUGUAGUCCCAGCUACUCGGGAGGCUGAGGCAGGAGAAUGGCGUGAACCCGGGAGGCGGAGCUUGCAGUGAGCCGAGAAUCACAUCACUGCACUCCAGCCUGGACGACAGAGCGAGCCUCUGUCUCAAAAAAAAAAAAACAAAAAACAAACAAAAAAAACUUUCACAACUGGAUGGUAAAGAACAGCCACAGCGUUUGAAUAGACAUUUCUCUAAAGAAUAUACAUAGCUGGCCAGUGAACACAUGAAGUUAUUUGUCAUUAGCAAAAUGGAAAUCAAACCCACAAUGAGAUAUCCCUGCACACCGACCAGAUGGUGAUUCUUUAAUAAAGAAAGGAAAAUAACAAGUGUUGGCGAGAUCUGGAGAAACUGGAAAAGUGAUUCCUGGUUCCUCAGAAAGUUAAGUGUGUCACCCUGUGACCCACGACUCCAUUCCUGGGUAUUUUCCCAGGAGCACUGAAAAUAUAUAUUCAUACAAACAUUUUUGUGUGAAUAUUUAUAGCAACAUUAUUCAUAACAGCUCAAUAAUAAAACUGUGUCCACCAGCUGAUGGCAAAAUAUGGUCCAUCCAUAUGACGGAACGUUGUAUGAAAGGGAUACAUGGCUGGGUGCAGUGGCUCACGCCUGUAAUCCCAGCACUUUGGGAGGCUGAGGCGGGCGGGUCAC